rnacentral:rRNA from 1 species
UGCCUCUCGAAAUAAUAUGAGAGGUCCCUCCUGCCCAGUGAAAGAUUUCAACGGCCGCGGUAUCCUAACCGUGCAAAGGUAGCAUAAUCACUUGCCUAUUAAUUGUAGGCUAGAAUGAACGGAUAAACGAAAUAAGCCCUGUCUCAAUUAAAUUAGAUAAAAACUAUACUCUAAAUGAAGAUAUUUAGAUAAAAACGAAGGACAAGAAGACCCUAUAGAGCUUUAUAUUUAUUUUAAGAGAAGAAACUCUAAAAAAAUUCGGUUGGGGCGACCAAGGAUAUAAAAAUCAUCCUAAAUUUUAAGAUUUAUAAAUCUCUAUAAAGACCCUUAUUAAAGAUCUUAAGAACAAGCUACCUUAGGGAUAACAGGCUAAUCUCAUUAAAGAGUCCUUAUCUACAAUGUGGGUUGGCACCUCGAUGUUGGCUUAGGGUAUCAAUAUGGCGCAAAAGUCAUAAAACGAUGGUUUGUUCAACCAAUAAUUCCCU